rnacentral:rRNA from 1 species
UACAGAGGGUGCGAGCGUUGUCCGGAAUCACUGGGCGUAAAGCGCACGUAGGCGGACUCUUAAGUCGGUGGUGAAAUCCUGGAGCUCAACUCCAGAACUGCCUUCGAUACUGAGAGUCUUGAGUCCGGGAGAGGUGAGUGGAACUGCGAGUGUAGAGGUGAAAUUCGUAGAUAUUCGCAAGAACACCAGUGGCGAAGGCGGCUCACUGGAACGCAACUGACGCUGAGACGCGAAAGCGUGGGGAGCAAACAGG